rnacentral:lncRNA from 13 species
CAAAGAUUUUUACACAUAGGAAGAUACACACAAAAAAAAUGAUUUUUCAGAAUUCAUGUUUUCUGAAAUCUGUUAAGUAAACAAAAUGAUCCCAAUCCAGUCCUCUGGUUUCAGAAGGAGGUGGAAGGAGCUAAAAUGUAACACCUGUAUUUGUUUUUUUGUUCUCAGAUAAAGGUGUGCAGUAUGAGGAAGCAUCCUGAUUUCUCUUGCACUGGCCAGUGUAACACGGUGGUGAGGCUGAGGGGAAGCAAAGGUCAUCUGUCUCUGGCACUGUCAUGGGCUGCAGUGGUCAUCACACUGACCCUCAUUUACUACUGCAGUUUUCCUCAGCCCUCACAGCCAUCUGAGAGAUGCCUGACAACAACACCCAAGUUUUAACCAUUCUGCUGUUACGCCUGUGUUUGUAUUACAAAGCAUAAUCAAGACUAUAGAAAACCCCAACCACAAAGUAAUGAAUUUACUUUGGGAAAUUUUCAUUACUAUGAGAAAGGUUCAGCAGUAUGCUCAGCUUACUACUUGAAGAAUAUAAUGAAAGAUUCAAGACUAUUAUCUACCUAUUGUCUUAGCUUAUUUGAACUUCUGUAACAAAAUAGCACAGACUGGGUAAUUUAUGAAGAACAGAAAUUUAUUUCUUACAGUUCUGAAGACUGGAAAGUCCAAGAUCAAGACGUUGGCAGGUUCAGGUGUCUGACAAAGGCUACUUUCCACUUCCA